UCAGAAUGAACGCUGGCGGCGUGCUUAACACAUGCAAGUCGAACGAGAACUCUCCUGCUUGCAGGAGAUAGUAAAGUGGCGCACGGGUGAGUAACGCGUGGGUAAUCUACCUUGGAAUCGGGGAUAACAAUGCGAAAGCGUUGCUAAUACCGGAUGAAGUUUUUUUCGCUUAGGCGGGGGGAACCAAAGGCGACCUCUCCAUGGAAGUUGUCGUUUCAAGAUGAGCCCGCGUACCAUUAGCUGGUUGGUGGGGUAACGGCCCACCAAGGCGACGACGGUUAGCUGGUCUGAGAGGAUGAUCAGCCACACUGGAACUGACACACGGUCCAGACUCCUACAGGAGGCAGCAGUGAGGAAUUUUGCGCAAUGGGGGAAACCCUGACGCAGCAACGCCGCGUGAGUGAUGAAGGCCUUCGGGUCGUAAAGCUCUGUCUGGUGGGAAGAACCUCGGGAUUCGGACAACGGAUUCGGACUGACGGUACCACCGAAGGAAGCACCGGCUAACUCCGUGCCAGCAGCCGCGGUAAUACGUAGAGGGCUAGCGUUGUUCGGAAUCACUGGGCGUAAAGGGAGUGUAGGCGGACCGGUAAGUUAGGAGUUAAAUGUACGGGCUCAACCCGUGAUCUGCUUUUAAUACUGUCGGUCUUGAGUAUGGGAGAGGGAGAUGGAAUUCCAGGUGUAGCGGUGGAAUGCGUAGAUAUCUGGAAGAACACCAGUUGCGAAGGCGGUCUCCUGGACCAAUACUGACGCUGAUGCUCGAAAGCUGGGGGAGCGAACAGGAUUAGAUACCCUGGUAGUCCCAGCCGUAAACGAUGGACACUAGUUGCCGGAGGAGUCAAUCCCUUCGGUGACGAAGCUAACGCAUUAAGUGUCCCGCCUGGGGAGUACGCUCGCAAGGGUGAAACUCAAAGGAAUUGACGGGGGCCCGCACAAGCGGUGGAGCAUGUGCUUUAAUUCGAUGCAACGCGAAGAACCUUACCUGGGUUUGACAUGGGGGUGAAAGUUUCCAGAGAUGGAAGCCUUUCCUUCGGGAACACCCCACACAGGUGCUGCAUGGUUGUCGUCAGCUCGUGUCGUGAGAUGUUGGGUUAAGUCCCGCAACGAGCGCAACCCCUGCCCUUAGUUGCCAUCAGGUAAAGCUGGGAACUCUAAGGGGACAGCUUGGUAUAACCAGGAGGAAGGUGGGGAUGACGUCAAAUCAUCAUGGCUCUUACGCCCAGGGCUAGACACGUGCUACAAUGGCAGGUACAGUGGGAUGCCAGCCUGCGAAGGUGAGCUAAUCCCUUAAAACCUGUCUCAGUCCGGAUUGGAGUCUGCAACUCGACUCCAUGAAGUUGGAAUCGCUAGUAAUCGCGGAUCAGCAUGCCGCGGUGAAUACGUUCCCGGGCCUUGUACACACCGCCCGUCAAGCCAUGAAAGGCGGUAGUACCCGAAGUCGCGUACCCAACCGUAAGGAG
rnacentral:rRNA from 1 species